rnacentral:rRNA from 1 species
UACGUAGGGUGCGAGCGUUAAUCGGAAUUACUGGGCGUAAAGCGUGCGCAGGCGGUUCUGAAAGUCAGCUGUGAAAGCCCCGGGCUUAACCUGGGAACGGCGGUUGAAACUACAGGACUAGAAUCUGGCAGAGGGGGGUGGAACUCCACGUGUAGCAGUGAAAUGCGUAGAGAUGUGGAGGAACACCGAUGGCGAAGGCAGCCCCCUGGGCUGAGAUUGACGCUCAGGCACGAAAGCGUGGGGAGCAAACAG